AUUGCUGACUUUCCUCUCCAGGGCCUGGACUGAAUACAUGUGCUUUAUUGUGUCCUUUUUCAGGUUAUUGCUCGUUUUCACCGAUGACCUUUUAAAGUCCUUAUCUGGCAUUUUACCUAUUUCAGUCUUUGAGUUUAGUAGUCUUGCUGCCUUUAUUUUUUUCAUGUUCCUUGCACAAUUUAUUAUUAUAUUGCAGUUUAUACUGCUGUUGACUUGGAUCUCUUAUCCAGUUUUAAAUUAAUUGAGAUUAAUUUAAGCAAACACUUUAAACUUAAUAAGAACAAUUAAUAAACUAAUCUUAUAUUUAUCUGAUUUGUUUUGAACUCUCUUGAGAAAAUCUUGGGCUUUUAUUUUAUUUUGUGUUUAGUUUUGUUUACUGCUUACUCUCUUCCCUCCAUAAAAUUCUUUUCCGUUUAUUUUUCAGCCUUGUUUCUCCUCCCAGUCUCUUUUUACUUCAUCACAUCCAUUUUCUGCAAAAGCAGCCUUAGUUAAAAUCUUAUGUGUCCUAGGAGAAAAACUUGGCAAGUAAAUGACACCAAGACACAUCUGACCCUCGACAACUGAAAACUUUAGUUAACGGCACCACGAAGGAGGAGGACGUGUGUUUAAAACUGUGCCACUGAAACAGGCUCAGAGACGUGAAGCGGCUCGGCCAAGGCCACACAGCUAAUAAUGGAUGGAACUACAGUAACUCUGAGCCCUGAGCUGGCUUUGAAGCCUGUGCUCCUGGUCAGACAUGUCAUCGAAGGGAGCAGAAUGGGGACCCCAGAUUGCUUCCACUUUUGCUCUUCAUGAUCUUGUACAAACUCUGAGCAUCAAGUUCUUGCACUGUGGGGUGGAGUAUGGAGGGCAGCCACAGAGCCGUCUGGCUGUCCUGUCAGCGCGGUUGCAUGUUGACGAUGAGGUGCCUUCAACCCCAGGCUGCUGCAGAGACGCAGUCCUUCCAGUGCACUUCCACAGCUACCAAGAGGAAAUGCAUCUCUUCUACAAUUCCUUAUGAAAUAACCUCACAAUAAGGCAUGCUGUAUCUUCUUGGGACUUCCAACUGCCUAGCCGACACCUCUGGCACAAAUGUGAGGCUGUUUCCAGAGAUGCCUCACUGAGGAGAGAAGACUCACCAAGUGUGGACAGUACCGUUCCAGUGACUGGGGUCCCAGGAGGAACACAAUGAGGACAGGGAGCUGAAUGGCAGCAUCCAUCUCUGUCUGCUUCCUGACUGUGUAUAUGAUACUGUCACCAUGUUUUCCC